GUUUUGGCUUUUGGGACAAUGACGCAGCUAGUGAGGUUAUAACCAAGAUGCAUCAAUUGCUGGUUGAAAACUAUUUCCAAACCUUGUUUUUGGCCUUGGUUCAGCCCUGUGCCAUUGAAAAUUUCUAGGAAAGCUCUCUCUAAUCAAGGGC